UACGGGGGGGGCAAGCGUUGUUCGGAAUUACUGGGCGUAAAGGGCUCGUAGGCGGCCAACUAAGUCAGACGUGAAAUCCCUCGGCUUAACCGGGGAACUGCGUCUGAUACUGGAUGGCUUGAGUUUGGGAGAGGGAUGCGGAAUUCCAGGUGUAGCGGUGAAAUGCGUAGAUAUCUGGAGGAACACCGGUGGCGAAGGCGGCAUCCUGGACCAACACUGACGCUGAGCGAGCGAAAGCCAGGGGAGCAAACGGG
rnacentral:rRNA from 1 species